rnacentral:rRNA from 1 species
UACGAAGGGGGCAAGCGUUGUUCGGAAUUACUGGGCGUAAAGGGCGCGUAGGCGGCUUAUCAAGUCAGGCGUGAAAUCCCCAGGCUCAACCUGGGAACUGCGUCUGAUACUGGAUGGCUUGAAUCCGGGAGAGGGAUGCAGAAUUCCAGGUGUAGCGGUGAAAUGCGUAGAUAUCUGGAGGAAUACCGGUGGCGAAGGCGGCAUCCUGGACCGGCAUUGACGCUGAGGAGCGAAAGCCAGGGGAGCAAACGGG